CCUACGGGUGGCAGCAGUGGGGGAUAUUGCACAAUGGGGGAAACCCUGAUGCAGCGACGCCGCGUGGGUGAAGAAGCGUUUCGGCGCGUAAAGCCCUGUCGGCAGGGAAGAAAAAGACGGGUCCUGGAGAAAAAACCCCGGCCUAACAACUGGCCGGCGGCGGCGGUAAGUGGGAGGGGGCAGGCGUUAUCCGGUUUUCCGGGGUGUAAGGGGGGCGCAGACGGCGGCGCAAGCAGGGAGUGAAAGCCCGGGGCCCAACCCCGGGACUGCUCUUGGACCUGCGUGGCUGGAGUGCAGGAGGGGCAGGCGGAAUUCCUGGUGUAGCGGUGAAAUGCGUAGAUAUCAGGAGGAACACCGGUGGCGAAGGCGGCCUGCUGGACUGCGACUGACGUUGAGGCCCGAAAGCGUGGGGAGCAAACAGGAUUAGAUACCCGUGUAGUC
rnacentral:rRNA from 1 species